GCACCCGUAGCUCAGCUGGAUAGAGCACUGCCCUCCGAAGGCAGAGGUCGCGCGUUCGAAUCGCGCCGGGUGCACCA
rnacentral:tRNA from 1 species